AUAAAUCUAUUUCUCAUGAAAUUUAAUCUAUUAGUUUUAGUAUCCAUGAAUGAUUCUUGCUUGAAUCAAUUAUUAUUUUUAUUUAUUUUUUAUUUUUUUGGAGACACAGUCUCGCUCUGUCGCCCAGGCUGGAGUGCAGUGGCACGAUCUCAGCUCACUGCAAGCUCCACCUCCCGGGUUCACACCAUUCUCCUGCCUCAGCCUCCCAAGUAGCUGGGACUACAGGCGCCCGCCACCACGCCCGGCUAAUUUUUUUGUAUUUUUAGUAGAGAUGGGGUUUCACCAUGUUAGCCAGGAUGGUCUUGAUCUCCUGCCCUUGUGAUCCGCCCACCUCUGCCUCCCAAAGUGCUGGGAUUACAGGCGUGAGCCACUGUGCCUGGCUGCUUGAAUCAAUUAUUAUUAUUAUUUUUUGAGACAGAGUCUCACUCUAUCACCCAGGCUGGAAUGCAGUGGUGCAGCCUCCACUCACUGCAACCCCUGCCUCCUGGGUUCAGGCGAUUCUCCUGCCACAGCCUCCCGAGUAGCUGGGAUUACAGGUGUGCACCACCAUACCCAGCUAAUUUUUGUAUUUUAGUACAGACAGGGUUUCUCCAUGUUGACCAGGCUGGUCUCUAACUCCCGACCUCAGGCGAUUCACCCGCCUCGGCCUCCCAAAGUGCUGAGAUUACAGGUGUGAGCCACCGUGCCUGGCCUUGAAUCAAUUAUUUACUUGAUGGUUGCCAAACAGAUUUUUCUGAACCAUCAUUUCUUCCAUAUUCACUUGUGAGGUUCUACUGUAAGGAGUAACUUUUUCUUCUCCCCUCCACUUAUUAUUUAUCUUUUAAUUUAUUUAUAUCAGAGUAGACUUAUAGAUUCUUAUUAUUUCAGUAGAUUGUAUGCCUUCCUAUCAUUUUUUAUUUUGAUACUCAAAUAGCCACAUAUCUGGCAAGUGAAUGCUCCUUCAGUCUGGCUCCUGGGUCUUACUGGUGUGUCCCAGUCAUCUUUCAGCAUAAGAGGUCUCUACUUUCAGGCAUAAGAGGUUCUAGGCUCAUCUUGAACUUUCUCAGCCCCUGCCCUGGAAUCAGCGAUUUCUCCAAGGAGCUCUGGUUCCUUUUGGUGAAAAACGGUCUUUUAAAAAAACUGGGGCUAAGAAAGAGAUAGAAAAUGUGUGCAUGUGUGUCUAGGGUGUAUAUAUGCAUUACAAUUGUCCCUUGGUAUUCAUGGAGGAUUUGUUCCAGACUGCCUCCCAAGUCCCACAGUGAGCUCUGUGGAACCUGAGUACACAAAAAAUUGGCCUCCAUAUACAUGGGUUUCACAUCCCAUGAAUAAUCUGCUUUGGUUGAAAAAAUUCCAUGUGUAGUAGACCCCUGCAGUUCAUACCCCUGAUGAAUCAAAGGUCAACUGUAUUUCCUUCCGUCCAUCCAUCCCUCCCUCCUUCCUUCCUUCCCUCCUUCCUUCUUUCUUUCUUCCUUCCUCUAGAUUCUCAUCUUCUUUCUCUAUCUAAUCUAUCCAUCUACCACCCAUCCAUCCAUCCAGUUUGAAAACCAUAAGUUCAUCAUAAACUCCAAUCCAAUCCAAUACCACAAGGUUCAUUCUAGCCCCUCCUUUUCUAUAUUCAUAAAUUCUUUCUCCAAUAGUGGGAAAUCUGGCUUGCAUUAUCUACACUAUUUAUUCAUUUGCUCAAUGCCAUAAUACACAGGGGGAAGUGGUCUCAGCAGUGCUGAUCCAUAUUACUGCGAAAUCACACUUACUAACUAGAGUUCAAUAUUUGUUUACAGUUUUUUUUGCCCUUAGCCUGAGGGUAUAGAUUCAAAUAUUGUAUUGAACAUUUCCUUGGAUUUGUUCUUUUUUUUUUCCCCUUUACUUUAGUGUGGUUAUUUUAUUUGUCUGAAAUCAGGUUAGGUUUAACUGUACUUCUAUAUUACAUUUUACCCCCACACCCAAACCCCACCAAUCCUUCUUUCUUUUUCAUUGUUUAACCUGGUUCAGAGUCGGAACUGUACACAGACAAGUAUACUCCGAGAAGUGUCACACUCCCCUACCCAUUCCUUCUACCUAGGUCUCCCACUCCACCUCCUUUCUGUAAACCACAAAUCAAAAUCUCAUUCAUUUCUGGUUUAUUCUUCCUGUGUUCCUUUUUGCACAAAUGAAUGGAUACAUGCAUAUUUUCUUAUUUCCUUGUCUUCCUUACAGAAAGUUACCAUUUUGUAGAUGCUCUUUUGUCUCCCCCAUCCACCUACCCCACACAAUUAAUAUACCCGGGAACCACUAGGUUGCAUACUCCUUAUGAGAAUCUAAGGCCUGAUGAUCUGAGGUGGAGCUGAGGCGGUGUUGCUAGUGCUGGGGAGCAGCUGCAAAUAAGUUCAUAGAGCUUUUCCUCAUUUUUUCUUUUUUUCAGACGGAGUCUCACUCUGUUGCCCAGGCUGGAGUGCAGUGGCGCGAUCCCAGGUUCACACCAUUCUCCUGCCUCAGCCUCCCAAGUAGCUGGAACUACAGGUGCCCACCACCACGCCUGGCUUUUUUUUUGUAUUUUUAGUAGAGAUGGGGUUUCACCAUGUUAGCCAGGAUGGUCUCGAUCUCCUGACCUCGUGAUCCGCCUGCCUCAGCCUCCCAAAGUGCUGGGAUUACAGGCAUAAGCCACCGCACCCGGCUCCUCAUUUCUUCUUAAAGCUGAGCAGACUCCAUUCUGUGGAUGUAGCACAGCCUCUUCAACCACUCUUUUAUGUAUAGGCAUUUAGGUAGUUCCUAAAAGGACAGUAUAAUGAACACUCUUAUUCGCAUGGAUUUUUAUAUUGCUGGAGGUAUAUCUUCAGGGUAAAUUGCUGGAAGUGGGAUGCUGAGCCAGAAGGUAAACACACUGGUAGCUUUAUCAGAUUCUGCCAGAACCCCCACUACUGCACACAGCCGCGCAGAGAUACCUGUUUCCCUACAGCCUAACCAAUGGACAGUGGCGUGUGUCUGUGCAUGUGCGUGUGUAUACACAGUCAAUGACCAGUUAAUGUCUUUUGAGUUAACUCAAAAGUUAAGAGUUUCUUAUAUAUUAGGGCAGAGUCCCCAGCUCUGCCCCACCCCCCCACCCCCCAGGCUGCACAGCAGGAGGUGAGAAGCAGGCAGGCAGGUGAGUAAGAAAGCUAGAAAAGCUUCCUCUGUAUUUACAGCCGCUCCCCACAGCUCACGUUACCACCUGAGCUCCACUUCCUGUCAGAUCAGCGGCAGCAUUAGAUUCUCAUAGGAGCCCUACUGUGAACUGCGCAUGCAAGGGAUCUAGGUUGCAUACUCCUUAUGAGAAUCUAAGGCCUGAUGAUCUGAGGUGGAGCUGAGGCGGAGGUUGCAGUGAGCUGAGAUCAUGCCAUUGCACUCCAGCCUAGACAACAGGAGCGUGAAACUCUGUCUCAAAAAAAAAAAAAAAAAAGCCUUGAUGGUAUUUUUAGUCUAAGUGCAUUAAAUGUAUAAAUUAACUUGGGGAGAACUGACCAUCUUUGUGAUUUUGAGUUGUCCUACCUAUGAGCAAAGGAUGACUUACAUUUGUUCAAAUAUACUUUUGUGUCUUUCAGAUUGUUUUAAAGUGAUCUUGUGUUGAUUGUGCAUAUUUCUUAUGCACUAUCUUACGUAUUUUAUCUUAUUUGUUGCUAUUAUGAAUAUAUCCCAUAAUUUCCUUUAACUAGUUAUUGCUUGUUGUAUAUAAAAACUAUUGAUUUCUGUAUAAUAAUUUUAUAUCCUGCUCUAUUACUGAAUUCUCUUAUUGUUUGAGUUAGAGAAUCACUGAUUCUUUAAGGUUUCUCAUUUCCUCUGCAAACAGAUAGUUUUACUUCUUUUUCAAUGAUACCUUUAAUUGACUUCUCUUGUCUGUUUGGAUUGGCUAAUACCUUUAGUACAAUGCCAAACAGAGGUGGAGACAGUGGGCCUCCUUGCCAUGUUUCUUAGUGUUUCCCUGCUAUAUAAGAUGCUAUCUAGGACUCACAGACACUUACAAGUCAGUAAAUUAUCCACUAAGUCCUAUUUUUGGAAUUUUUAAAAAUCAGGACAGGGUGUUGAAUUUUAUAAAGUGUUUUCUCAGUAUCUAUGGAAAUAAUCAUACAUUUUUCUUUUUUGAUCUAUUAACAUAUUAAUGAGUUAAGAGAUCUAUUAAUUUUUUUAAUAUUAAACCAAUCUUGCAUUCCUAGAAAAAAAAAUCACAUUUGUCUUAAUGUUAGAUUCUGUUAGUUAAUAUUUAUUUAGAAUUUCUGCAUUGAUGCUCAUUAGUGAUACUGGCCUGUAAUUUUUAUACUGUCUUUAACAGAUUUAAGUAUCAAUAUUAUUUACUUCAUUGAAAUGAAUUUGAAAAUUUUCCUUCAUUUUUGAUGAGCCCAUCCUUUUUCCACUGAAGUACUCCUUCUGAGGAAGACUAAAAAAAAAUUUCUGCCAAUGAUCCUGUAGGAAAAUUCCAAAAGAAACCUUUUUGAUUUCUUCUUGAAAUAGCUUUCAGAACUCCUGUUCUCAAUCAAAUAUCUUUGCACCUACAGGUCUAUGUGAGGUACUUGCAGCACAUGGGUAGUAAGACAAUGAGUUUAUAUUAAUGUGGACUACAUUUAAGAAUCUACAUAUAAGAACCUUAACUGAGGCUUUACCUUAAUACUCCAGACAAACAGGCUGGAGACCUGACCUCCUUAAGAGGUCUGGACCAGUUCUGGUAGAGAUCAGCCCAGAAUGACCAGGCCUCUGAACAUUCCACAAAACGUGUUCCAUGGAGAGGGUGUAGAGGAGAAUAGGGAGCAUUACCGAACAGCAAAGGAAAACACUUUAAGACUCUCCUCAACCAUUUCCAUUAAAAUUUCAGAAACAGGCCAGGUGCAGUGGCUCAUGCCUGUAAUCCCAGCACUUUUGGAGGCCGAGGCAGGUGGAUCACCUGAGGUCAGGAGUUUGAGACCAACGUGGCCAACAUAGUGAAACCCCAUCUCUACUAAAAAUACUACUAAAAUACUACUAAAAAUUAGCUGAGCAUAGUGGCAGGCACCUGUAGUCCUAGAUACUCACGAGGCUGAGGCACAAGAAUCACUUGAACUUGGGAGGCAGAGACUGCCGAGAUCACACCACUGCACUCCAGCCUGGGCGACAGAGUGAGACUCUGUCUCCGAAAAAAACCAAAACCAAAACAAAGAAAACCUCCAGAAACAGAUGAGAACAUAUUUAGAUGUUUUGUAUUGUAUUAAUACUUUUUGCUCAAUUUUAACAAAUGCCUCAGUCUUUGCUAGGAGCUACCCACCUCAACAAGCAUGGGUUCCUGGCCAUACCAUCAAGGUCACAGAGGCAAAGCUGCCUCCAGAGCUAGGCUCUCAAACAAUGCUGCCCAUCAGAAUCGCCUGCAGUUUUAAAACACAAAGCAAAAACAAACUGAUGCUAAGACCCCAGAUACCCUCUGAAUCCCAACCUCCAGAGCCAGAGCUUGGGUGUGUCCCAGAUGAUUAGAAUGCAGCUGGUCCAAAGACUGGGGUUCUAAAACCACUGUUCCCAAAGCUAUUUUUCAAUGACUUUUUUAAAACUACAUUUCUUUUAAAAAAUUUCCAGAGCUACAACAUCAAAGAGGCAGUAAUUCUCUUCUGGUUCCUUCAAUGAUUGAAAUGAAGCAUCGCAUUAUUUUGAUAUUUACUAGGACGGCACAACAACAGUCCCACAGAUGGAGAGAUUUCAUUUUCUAGAGCCAGAGGGUGGUAGGUAGUCGAGGAAAAGGAAAAAGGGGAAAGGAACAAAGAACUGGCAUUCGGACACAAAGUGUGCACCACAAAGUGCCAUUACGUGCAAGACAGCCACUUAGUGUGUCUGAAUCCCUGUUGGUGUUCUGUCUCCCUACAGUGGCUUCAUUCGCGAUCACCAGAUGUCAGGUCUGCCAGAUGUCGUUUUUAGCACCAUGAAGCAUAGCAAGGGCUGGUGUCUCGCACACACACAAGCAUGUGUGCACAUGCACACACACACAUGCACAUACACACACACACAUACAUGCACAAAUCCACACACACACACACUUGAUUGCCACCUCAAUAUGGCAGGCUUCCAACAGUGAGCACACCAGCCAACAUGGCACCAUCUUUCCACUCACUGUAAGAUUUCUCCAAGGUCUUAUAAAUGAAUGAAUGAACGGGCCAUGGGGAAGGGGUAUCUUCAGCUAUAGAUCUCAAGAUUCUACACUGCAAGCAAGCCAGUGGUUCCUUUGACUGAGCACCCAUCCACAUGCUGGGCCCUUGGUAUGAGCCAUGUUCUCAUUUAAAUGUCCCAGUGACUCUCAAGACAUCAUCAUUGCCAAGUAGUCUCAUUUUACUGCUGAUAAGUGGAAGCUACACCGCAGAAGUGGCCUGGUGAGAUCAGAGAACAGUCAACCAGGUUUGCCUGGCUCAGAGGCCCAUCUUCUGACUCACUAGGAAAGAAUCUUUUGCUUUUAUCAAAACAGAAUUUCAAGGUAGAAAUACCACCUCUUUUUUUUUUUUUUUUUUUUAAUGAGACAGAGUCUUGCUCUUCACCCAGCCUGGAGUGCAGCGGCACUAUCUCAGCUCACUGAACCCUCUACCUCCCAGGUUCGAGCAAUUCUCGUGCCUCAGCCACCUAAGUAGCUGGGACUACAGGCAUGUGCCACCAUGCUUGGCUAAUUUUUGUAUUUUUAGUAGAGAUCGGGUUUUGCCAUGUUGGCCAGGCUGGUCUUGAACUCCUGACCUCAGGUGAUCCACCCACCUCAGCUUCCGAAAGUGCUAGGAUUACAGGCGUGAGCCACCAUGCCCGGCCGGCCAGCCUCUUAAAAUGCAUUUGUGUAAGUUUAACAGUCCUGGAGGCUAUAAGGCUUUCUAGAAAGAUCUGGAAAUUGACUUCCAAAUAAUAACAUCAAAAUGGGGUUCUUGCUUUAUCUUUUUUUCUGAGAACUGAAACAGAGUCACCUUACAUUUUCUAAAAGUAAAUACUACCAGCUUGGUGGCCAAGUUCAUCAGUUCUGUGCUAUGUGUCUGAACAGUUAUUUUCCCAGCUCUGUACGUAUUCUGCUUCAAAUACUUCAUUUUCCCUUAUGAAAUUUACAUAAAUUAUAAUACUAAUAAGAAGUUUCUUUACCUACAGAGUGAAGGGGCAUCUGAAACACCUGGGCAAACAAAGGAACCUGAAGGUAACGAAUUCCUUCCUACAGAAGGGCAGCUCCACCCGGCCACUUGGGCCCUUGAUUUUACCCCAGGUACCGUCGCCUUCGGGGUAAUGACAAGGAAGAAUGCCCUGCCCUGCCAGCUGGCCUGAAAACCAGUGUGCCUUUCACCACCCUGACGCCCUGUGUGUCACCUUCCUCUUUCCCUCUCUCGGCUCCCACCUCUCUUCAGAGCCUUCCCUGCACCCCGCCCUGCCAGAGAUCAACCAACACGCCAGAGCUCGUUUGCCGGGAUGCUUAGCACCAGCUUAACUCUUCACUCAGUGGGACAAGGGGCCUCUUUCUUUCAGGCAGGGCUUUGCUCCAUGACACGCUGGGUUUAUGGCCCCCGUGAACGAAACCUGGUUCGGAAUCCAAUUCUACAACAGAUUUUCGUUCAAAUGGUUAUUUUCCAUCCCUUGCCCCCAAUUCCAUUUUCUACCCAUCUCUCCCGGCUCUCUGCCUGUGGGGGCUGACCCCUUGAGACCUGGGUGGAUUCGUGCUUCUGGGUGGGUUCUGUGCUGGCAAGACAUUUUAUAUCCUGUUCUCUUACUGAAUCCUUGUACUGUUUGUUUAGUUUGAUCGUUUAUUCUCAAGGUUUCCCAGAUAUACUACAAUAUCAUCCACAGAUAGAGUUUUACUUCUUUUCUGAUUCUUAGGUCUCCAGUUGGCUUCCGUGUCCACUUGGAUUGGGUAAUACCUCCAGGAUGAUGCUAAGUAUUAUAGAAGUGGAGGCAGUGGGUGUAUCCUGGCCUUGUUCCUCCUGAUCUCUGUGGAAAUGCUCUUAGGUUUCCCCAAGAAGCAGGAUGCUAGCUUUAGGACUCUGGAUCUCACCCACUCCCUCCCACCUAUGAGUCUUUGGAAAAUACUAUUUCCUCCCUUGCUAUUUCAGGCCCAGGUGGCAGAACUCCUCUCUCUGGGGACCCCUCCAUUGUGUGUUUUCCCUUCCACAGGAUUCUGAGUUGGAUCCUGUGUCUGUCUGUGGCCCUGAGAGCUGCAGGUAUCGACUACAGGCUCAGCAUGGUGGGAUGGGCUGUAUCCUCAACCCUGUUUCAACAGGGACACUUCUGCUAGGAGAGGAGAAUGGGCCCAGAUGUAAAGCUGCCCUUCUCCAGGGUUUCCUGAACCUUCUGGUCUCUUUGCCUUCAUCUUGCCUCUUCCUGCUCCGUUAAAAAGAAAAUGCUUCCCAUUUGUUAAUUGUUGAGAGUGUAUGCUGCUGUUUUAUUUUGCUUGACAUCUUACAAUCAAUCUUCUGUAUAUGUUUAUAUAUGCUUUUCUAUUUAAGCUUUUUUUUUUUUUAAAUCUAAAAAACACAGUACCAUACCGCCAAAGGUGUCAGGAAACACGCUCAAAUAAGGAAGGGCUCCAAAGACUGCUUUGCCAACAAAAUGCCAGUAAAAUCUGAAACCCAGGUUCAGACACACUGGGAACGUUCCAAAAUUUAAAACUUAAAGAACUUCUUUAUUCCAGUAAAUCAGCUUCCCUGUGAAUACCAUCAAAAUCCUGGGCUUUAAUGAGUAAGGGAAUAUCAGAGGAAGGGGUGGAGAAGGAAAGGAUUUGGACGAGCACAAAAUUUAAUUUAAAAACUAUUAUGAGAAGUUUAAUUUCCCCUCCCCCAACCAAACACAUAAAUCUUUUCCAUGCAUUUUCUUUGUUUCGGUUUUUCCUAAAAAAUCUGGAGAGGGAAAGGCAUCUUGAACCAUCUGAAAUGACAGAGUCAGUGGAGUCUUUAAUAAUAAAUAUGUGUUUAUUGGAUUCCUAUGAAUUAAAUGACAUAUUAGCUAUAUGGGAGGAUCCAAGGAAAUCGUAAGCAAAAUUGCAUUCUCACCGAAUGUGUAAUCAACCAGGGAGAAAAGACAUUGAUGGGAAGGAUAACGAGUGAUAUGAGGCCUUGGGCCUCUUAAGGAGUAGGGACAACAGAGGUGUCAGAGUCCAGGCGGGGAUGGCUCACUUCGGCAGGGGUGGUCGGGGCCCAGCACACCCCCAAGUGCACUGAAAGAUGCGACCAUGUAGGGAGAAUGAAGCUGGCCUUCACAGUUCAUAAUUCCAUCCACAGGCAGCACUGAGUGCAGCCACAUUUCAACAUUGGAACUUUCCAGGGCGAAGAAGCACUGAACACGUCGCAAGAGCAUGGACUUCCUAGGUUUUCACCAGGCCACGCGUGAGCAUGGGGCUGUGGGUGUCGGUGUGCCUCAGCACUGCCACGUCCACUCUGAGUGCAGGUCCGGCUCAGUUUUGGAUGUUCCUCCGAGAGCAGUCCUCCAGGGCCACCGUGGGACGAGGCACCUCUUUGGUAGGCCAUUUGCACUCCAGCACGGCCUCUGUUCCUAACCACAAUGGGCUGCUGGUUCAAGGACUCCCUGCCACAGCCAGGAGGCACAGAAGACCCCAUGGAGGCACUUGGCUGGUUAAGACCCGCAGGGGUCACCUGCCUAGGCUUAGCCUCAAUCUCCUUGUAGAUAAAACUGGACCCUAACCCUUCACUGCCCAGGGCCCCUAGGGAAUAAAUGUGCCAUGCUGCGUGGGAUGCCCAAGGAGAGUUCUGUGGCAUUUAUUUAGCCACACUGGUUCCUCUCCCCUGGUUUCUUUUCAUCAUCAAAUGGACAUGAUGGAAAGCUCCUUUGCGGUCUUUCUAGGAGAGGAGGCGGCACCUAUAUUCCAGAUGCAGCCAUUUCACAACCAGGCGCUGCUUCCUGGUCAGAGCCGCUCGACCAUGAGGAUAUUCUACAGAAAGAGAACUCAGCUCUCUCCUUCCUACCUCACAUGACCCUAAGGAAAGUUAAGAAAAGAGGAAAAGACCUGUGAAGAUGCCUGAUCAGCUGUCAGGGUUACGUAGACACUGGCUGCUGUUAUUUACUGUUCCCUGGCUGAUAAAAUAGCCAGGUCACCUGUGCCGAUGACCAGACCCACCCCCUACCCACCAGCAGGGCUGCCAGGGCUUUCUGGGGAGACGCUGCAGCUUGGUUCUUAUUUCCUUUGCUCUGCAUCCCUCUGGGUUGACUUGAGUCUGAUCAUGGGUUUAUUCCAUUUCCAUUUUGCUAGAUUCCCUCCACUCCCUCAAGCUUCUACAAAACUGUGGGGCCACCACUCCCCACAAAAGAUUAAAACCAAGAUGUUUCCUAGAGGUGGCAUUUUGUCUUCCUGAAGCUGUUCUGUGCACAGGUCCUCUCCACACUCAUGCCAAAUGCUCGGUGAAGCGUCUUCCUGAAUGUCCCUAAGGGGCACGUGCCACUGGCAGAGCUGAUGGGCACACCUCACUCCCACACAUGCUGUGCCGAGCUCAUGACUCAGCUGUGCAGGGCCCGCCCAAGAGUGAGGCAAACACCAACACCGCACAGCGACCCUUUGUCAAUGGUGGGGACCUCAGUGGCUUCUCCAUCGGAACUUAGGGCUGACGGGCCUCCAGACCUACUGUUACACACUGGCCCACGGAAUGACCCUCAUAAACCCAAGAACAGUAAACAGAGCUUAACAUUCUAACGAAAUCAAGAUUGCUGUGUGUGCUUUCACAAAAUGAAACUGCCUGGAACUUCUCAUAACGUUUUUUAUGAUAAGCAUUAAAAUGCAAAGAGGAAGAUUAAAGUUCCUGCUACAGACCAGAGCAGUAAUGAGUGUGGGAGGAGGAGCUCUGGGUAGGGUCUGGGAGAGAGGUUUAUGUACUGCAUUACAGUUGGAUAUUAUUAUAUAAAAUGAGUGUGUUAUUAAAAGGAUCCUGAAGUUAUAAAAACUCAAAGGAACUUUUACUGAGGAUGAAUAACUUCUUUGGUAAAGAUGAAUGACUCUCACGUCCUAGACACUGAGGUGCAGUCACGUGCCAGAGCUCUUUAAUUGCUAGUAGUUGGAUUUCGUUGUUUUUGUGGGGCACUUUUUUGCGGGGGAAGGGGCAGAAAGAUUAGGAAUACAUUCUUUGAUUAGGAAAGUUCUAGUGGGUAAGAGAAAGUCCCUCUAGUUAGUAACUGAGAAUCUUGAUUAUCCUACUAGAAAAAGGCAAUAAGAAGACGCAUCUCCUAUGGCCAUAACAGCCACCUGAUUUUUUUUGCUCUACUUCUUUUAAUUUUGUUUGUUUGUUUGUUUUCAGACAGACUCUCAUUCUGUUGCCCAGGCUAAAGUGCAGUGGUGCAAUCAUAGCUCACUGCAGGCUUGACCUCCCGGGCUCAAGCCAUCCUCCCACCUCAGCCUCCCAAGUAACUGGGACCACAGGUGUGUGCCACCAUGCCUGGCUAAUUUUUAAAUUUUUUCUAGAGACAGGGUCUUGCUAUGUUGCCCAGGCUGGUUGUUCGACUUCUUAAACAGUACAUACCACCUCAUCCAUUUAAUGUUACAAACACAAUGAAAUCAGUAAGUCAGAAAACUGUAGAGUGAUGUGGUGAAAAACAUUCUUUUUAAAUGUAGUUCUACUUAUUUUAAAUACAUUUAAUUAACUAAAAUUAUACCAGAAUAUGGCUUUGGGCUUGAUCUACUCAAGUAAUUUAUACAUUUUCCCUAUAAUUUUGUUUGUGUCCAUAAACUAGGAAAUUUCCAUGUAAUCUGUAUCAAGACAAUCACAAAUUCUAAAUUAGUGAAGACCAAAGUAAUGUUUCCCUUUACCAUGGUUGGAAGUGUACAGGAUAUUUGGUUUAUUAAUUUUAAAAAUUAUGAGAGUAAUCCCGACAGUCUGGAAAACAGAAACAAAAGAUUUCAUCACACAUACUAACACAACGAUUGCCACCUUACGCAUUUUCUAGUCCUUUCUCAAAGAUGCAUGUUUUAAGAUUUUAAUCUACGAAUUAAUAAUUUAUUGAAACCUGCUUUUUACUUUAAGUGGUCUGAGCAUUUCUGUAUCUUGCCAUAGUCUUUCUGCUGAUGGACAAUAUUCCAUUGAGUGAGUGUGUACAGAGUACUUAACUAUACAUCUUUGUGAGUAUGAACUUUCCGAUGUAUCUGAUCAUUUCUUAAGGGUAGAUUACUAGAAGUGGUAUCAAUGGGUCAAGGAUAUUAACUUUUUACAACUCCUGAUGCCUACUGCCACACUGCUUUUCAAGAGGUUGCUCUAAUGUACACUCCCACUGGGGUUUGAACAAGGCUUAAAAGUACCUGUUUCAUUAUAUCCUUGCCCACCCUGGGUAUUAUCAUUAAAAACCGUUUUGGGCCUGGCGCAGUGGCUCAUGCCUAUAAUCCCAGCACUUUGGGAGGCCAAGGUGGGCCCAUCACGAGGUCAGGAGAUCAAGACCAUCCUAGCCAACAUGGUGAAACCCUGUCUCUACUAAAAAUACAAAAAUUAGCUGGGUGUGGUGGGGUGCACCUGUAAUCCCAGCUACUCAGGAGGCUGAGGCAGGAGAAUUGCUUGAACCCAGGAGGUGAAGGUUACAGUGAGCUGAGAUCGUGCGACUGCACUCCAGCCUGGCGAUGGAGUGGGACCCCAUCUCAAAACAAACAAACAAACAAACAAAAAAACAUUUUGGUGUGUGUGUUUGUUGGCUGAUGUAGAGGGUGAAAACAGCCAACAAACACACCAAAAUCAUGGAGGAUUAGGAAGUGGGACCUAUGGUGUUUCCUUGGCUCUUCAUUCAGAUUGAAGACAGGAAACAACCACAUAGACAUAUUCUGUAUCUGGCUGCCUUUCCCAUGAUCUUACGCUUCCGUGGCUCAAUGGCUGCCUUUCCCACGAUCUUAUGCUUUUGAUCAUCCAUGGAGAAAAACGCAAACGGACGCAGGAAUGCUCCAAUCUGGGCUGUGAAGGCUCAGACAGGCAGGAGGCUGUCUGCCCAGGAAGGCAGGUCAGAAGCUGCUAUUAACCACUCUGGCAGGGCAGUGUUUCUGUCAGCCUGCAGAGCACUUCAGGUUCUGGGAGCAGCUGAUGGCAGAACUGUGGUGUUCUCUCCGUGGAAAAAAAAUGAGGAAGUCAGCAAAAUGUUCUUAAGCCAUUCCGUCCACCAUUUUGUCCAUCUGUGUUGAUUUGGCAGUGGUGUUGGCAAAGAACCUGGGUGUAGGACAAUGUGCUUUGUAAACAGAAGAAAAUGAAAUGAUAGAUGCAGGGGUGCCUUUGUUUGAGCUUGCUUGUAUUUAAAGUUGGCUAAAUAUGCCUCAGCAGAGAUCUUUGGGGACAUGAAUCAUAAUAGAAAAAAACAGCAACAUAUAGGCUUGUCCAAAAUAAAACCUGCUCACCGUGCCUCAGGUAACCCUAAGAAGCGUCCUCUGUUGUAAAAACAAUUCAAAUACAUACCAAGUAGCAAGAAUCGCAUAAGGAAACCCCACAUAGGAUGUCCGGGGCAACAACAUGCAGACCCCCACCCCUGCCGGAGCCGAGUACACACCAACCCACACAUCCAGGGCUCUGGGCAGCGGUGACUGUUCAGUGAGACCGCUUUCAGCAUUUGCGAGAAGCUGCUCACCAACUGCCAAGUUCCUGCUGGGUCGGCCAAGAGGUAUGAACCAAAAAUGAAAAAACAUGAAAGGUUUGUUUUUUAAAGGCAAUACAUCAAACAUAAAAAGAGCCCUUUUGUAUGAAUUUUCAGUGUGGGAGCCAGAGAGGAGAAAAAAUCAUUUUCCCUCCUGGGAGGAAGCAGUUUGACCUCACCUGCGACUUUUCUCUUACGGUGUGGAUUUUUCUCACCCCAUUAAAUGUAACCUACUCUAGGUGGGUUAGUACCAUGUGAGAGAAAUAGGGGGUGAUGGGGAAUAUGGCAGACAGGCAGGCUGGGGCUCAGACAGAAUGCCGAGCACCCUCGAGGGUGGGCCCUCGAGGGCCACGGAAGCGGGUGCCACGGGGCUGCAUGGAAUGCGGCUGCUCCAAGGGGCCUGUUUGCUGGACACACAAGGAUUAAGUUUCCAUGGCUCCAAAACCCUUGCAGCCUCCCACCCCACCCCCGGCAAAAGCACUCUUUGCAAAAGGAAAGGAAAAAAGAACAACCAAGUUAGAAUGGGGUUAUCUUCUUACCACUUUCACAAAGAAAGGGCUGGCUGGGAUGGACACAGCAGGUUUCCCACUGUGAAGCCAUCAGAAAGGCAGCGGAAAAAAACCUCAUGGCAGUUAGGUGUGGGCCAGCCACACAGACAGGAACAAGCGAGCUUUCAAACCUAGAAGGUGAGUGCGCUACCUGUCAGCGUUCACAGGACUUUGCUCUGAAGAACAGUAAAAGACCAUCUCAGCACCGGGUCCCUAAAUCCCCUUCCCAUUAACCAGGUGCCAAUAGUGAAACCUAGAAGGGGACCCUGGUAAAUCACCCGGCGGCUACCCCGCAGGCUCCCAGCGCUACGCUCUGGGGACCGUCAGCCUUUUCUUCUGUCACACAGCAGGAGAAUGAGCUCACUUUGGCAUCUGUGUGACCAGGGACGGCUGCCAUCUGUGUGUCACUGUUAUCAGUGGUCAGAGCAGAAGUAGCAGGUGGAACCAUGUGAAAUCCCUAACAUUCAACCGUUUAGACCUGCAAAAAUGGCUCUUUCCUUCGAUUUACCCUGAUGAUGACAAGAAAAGGAGAAGGGGGGGAGGGAAGGGAGAGGGGGAGGGAAGGGAUGGAAGGGAAGGGAGCGGGGGGAGGAGGAGGACGACCAUGAUCAUCAGCCAAUUGUGCUACGUCAGUCCAGAGUGAGCUGCUACUUAUGAUUUCAUUUCCUCCUUAGACUGAUGGGAGCAAUGACAAUCCCCAUUUGUAGAUGAGGCACCUGCUCAGAGAACUGAAGUUACUCAUCCAGGGUCACAUGGCUGUCAAGAGGCAUGCCCAGUACCUAUGACAAACAUUCAUCCCCAAGUAACGAAGCCAACAACCUGUGUCUCACUCCAGAACCACAGAGCUGUUACAACACGUGGUGCCUCCUGAGCCAGCAGCCAGGGGCAAGAACGAGAGGAUGCAGGGAGAGGCUCUGGGGAAAGGGCUGUGUCCCCUCAGUCAUGUGACCCCCAGGCUUUCUAGAGUGACUCAUGGUGAGGACAGCAAAGAUCUCAAAAUGCUGUCUAGACCUUAACUCUGCCCAUCACCCCAUCCAUUUGGUUUUGUUUCCCUUUCAUUUGCAUGUGUAGUCACAUGCUCAGCAUCCUUGGGGGCAGCUGCAUCUGUGGUCCUCCAGAACCCCAAGCUUUGCAGUUGGACUUGAACCCCUCAUGCGCUUUUGAUUCCUGAUUAAAUAACCUGAUUCGAGUUGUUGAGAUCUUUAGUUUACAUCAAAUAAUUCUUCUUUCUAUUGCUCCAUUCACUUCUGCACAUUGCCUUAGGUACCGAUUCAUUUUCUCUACGACCCCCGCUGCUUACAUGAGUUCUAAGAUCAUCCACAGGUGUGUGCCUGUCGGAGGGCUCGGAGAACACGGGACAGCAGGAAGCAGUCUUUUUUUUUUUUUUUUUUGAGAUAGAGUCUCGCUCUGUUGCCCAGGCUGGAGUGCAGUGGCGCAAUCUUGGCUCACUUCUACCUCUGCCUCCUGGGCCCCAGUUCAAGCAAUUCUCCUUCCUCAGCCUCCCAAGUAGCUGGGAUUACAGGCAUGCACCACCAUGCCCAAAUAAUUUUUGUAUUUUUAGUAGAGACAGAGUUUCUCCAUGUUGGCCAGGCUGGUCUUGAACUCCGGACCUUGUGAUCCACCCGCCUCGGCCUCCCAAAGUGCUGGGGUUACAGGUGUGAGCCACCGCGCCCAGCCAGGAUGCAAUCUUAUUGGUGUGUCACUUUUAGCCCAAGAAGCAAAAAAGUGGAGUGAGUAAGCUGGUAGGAUCAACUGUUAUUUUUAUAUUAAAACAAACAUGUACCAGAAUUAUGGAGUAAAAAUUAUGCAAAAUUUACAAGCAUGUUAGAGAUAAAUCAGACCUUAAAGAAAUUUAGUGCUAGUCAGAAGCUACAUAAAUGGUCAGGCAUGUGGCUGCUGGUGCAAUAUUGUCCCUUUACGGCCAAGAGACCUCAGACAAGUUACUUAACCUCUCCCAUCGAAAGCAUCUCUCAUGAAGAUGCUGCUUCAGUCAUAGGGUUGUCAGGAGGAUAUACCAAGUUAGUGCCUAUGUGGACAGCUGUUUAGAAGCCUCAGAGCACCCUGUGAAUGUGCUUUCAGACCUGCCCUGGAUUCUUAGCUUCUACUAAGGACGAGCUACGGGUGUGACUGGGUUACGCUUGGCUCAUUCUGGCCUCCCUGCCGCAACUUUUCCAAAGAGGCGAUCUCUGAGCUCCUGGGAGCAAACCCAUGAGGAUACAGAUGAUUCGGCAACUUUGUGCCAGGCCCUCUCCAGGCUCUGGGGUUGUUUCUGUGAACAAAUGCUCUGUCUCUGCACCCAGGGAGCUGGCAUUCUAGUAUGUGUGUGCAAGGCGGUGGGAGAGAGACAUAAAUGCAUAAUGUGUCAAUGCAGUGAAAACAAAAUACAGCAGAUAAGGGGUACAAGGAAGGACAAAGGAUGGGGUGUUCAAGUGGUCCCUGAAGGCUGCUGCAAUAAGGCAUUUGUUCAGAAAGAAGAUAGUGAGAGCAUACCAUGAAGACAUGUGACAGAGGACUAUUCCAGGCAGAGGCAGCGGCAAGGCCAAAGGCCCUCAGUGGGAUUGGAGAGGAACAAAAAGGUGACCGACGUGGCUGAAGCACACUCUGUGCGUAUGGGGUUGGGGGGAAUAGGAAUAAGGGUUAUGCUGGUUGGGGGACAGAUUUGGAAGUGUGCAGGUCAUAGUAAGAACUCUGGAUUUUUUACUGAAUGAAGUAGGAAGCAACACUGAGCCUUUCUAAGCUAACAGGGAUGAGAUAACUAAGUUACAUUUUAAAGGAAUUCACCUGGCUGCCACAUGGAAAACAGCCUGGUGGAAGGAAGAAAGAGAUGUGUUCUGCACAUUUUGAAAGUGGAACAAAGAGGACCUGAUGAUGAACUGAGCUCCUGAAAGGAAGAUGGAGUCAAGGGUGAGUUCACGACUUCUGGCACACACAACUCAAGGAAAAAGCGAUGUGCCGUUUCCCAAAAGCAGGAGGCAAGGGCUGAGCAGGCUGGAGGGUGGAAUCUGGUGCUGGACUUAGAUGUAGCAAGCAUAAGAUGCCUAUGAGACAGCCCACGGAAUCCAAGCAGAAGUCUGGAGUGGGAGGGAGAGGUCUGGGCUAGGAUAUUCAUUUGGGAAUCAUUAUCGUGGAGAUGGUUCUUAGAACCAUGGGACCAGGAGAGGUCAGCCAGCGAAUGAGUUGGGCUGGAGAGGGGAAGACGUCUGAUUAACCUGACUUUGUUCUCUGGCAAAGGCACCAGGUUGAGAAUUCAGAAACUCAUAUCCCUGGUUUCUUUUUAGCAAACACGAAGCAUGGUGACCAAGCCAUGUCAUCACACUGGAACCGCAAAAAAGAGAAGAAAGGAAAUGCGCUUCGUCUUCUGCGAGGACACAUUGACGGUGCUCAGCUAGCCAGCAUCUAGGUCCCACAGAGGGCAGGAGGGAUCCGGAAACACUGAGGUCCCCUCCUGAGAGGCUCAUGCCCUCACAUACUUUCUUAAUAUAAUCAAAAUGGGAGUAAAUGAUGACAAUAUGCAACUUUCCAAAUACUGAGGGUUCUGGACCAAGCUACUGAAACAGAUUUCAUAGUUGCUAUGCUCCAUACUCUGCCUAGCAUACGGUAGUCAUUUUAUAAACAUUUGACAAAUAGUUAUAUUUCUAACAGAAACCAGAAAUUUGGGGCCAUGACUCCUUUACAGCUCAAGAAAUAUGCAAAAUUAGUAUUCCCUGAGAGACAGAUGUCUGAAGGCCCCAAGCAGUCCAACCCUGUCCUGUCAUAGCCUGAGACAUCCUGCCUUAGGGAGUAAGUUAUUACUAACUGUGGACAAGCUCUGUUUCCCUUUUGGAGGAACUGAGGGCAGAGAUCCUGCCAUUAAUUCCUCCCCCAGUGCCUGGGAUAGUGCCCUGUGCACAGCAAAUGCCCAAUACAUCUAAAUAAAUGUCAAAUGAAUGAGCGAAUAAAUAUUCAUUAAAAAUUAACCAAACAGUUAAUUUAGGUCAUUCAGUGGAAAAAAGAAAAACAGUGAAACUAGAAAAGCAUCUUUUUAAUUUAAAAGGUUAAUUAAGGACAAGGUUUUAAAAAAAUAUUUUGGUGGAUUUAGUAAACCAAGCACACCUGGGACUCAAAAUAGUUGCAAUCUGUAACUCUAAACACAGCCCAUUAUGUCCCACGAAUUAGAAAAUGAGGGAAAGUUGCCUGACUCGCUUCAUGAUUCUAGUAUAAUCUCAAUUCUUCAACCAGAUAGUGGACAAGAAAAUAAAAAACCCCAAACACUUAAACACACAGAUGUGAAAAUCAUGAAUAAAAUGCUAGUUAACUGAAUUCAAUGCUACAUCUUAUGUGUAUUAUAAUCAGAUAUUGUUUAUCCUAGAAAUGCAAGGAUGGUUUAACAUCAGAAAAAUGUAUCAACAUAAUACAUAACAUAUGGGUGGGCAAAAUGAGGAAAAUCACAUGAUUUUCUGAAUAGAUGCAGAACAGACAUUUGGUAAUUUCAGUAGCCCUAGGUCAGUCCAAAUGAUCUAUUAGUCUGAUCAAUUUAAUGAUUUUAUUAGAUUCUCUAAUUCCCAAAAGCAUAUUUCUUUUUACUAUUUAAGCAUUUUACAGCAAUCUGUUUUAGAUGUAUAAGCAGGGCCCACGAGAGCUGUGAGGAACCAGGACUCGGAUAAUCCAGGGCGUUGGGAGACUUCCCCAAACCAGGAAAUGAUCCCAUGCACCAUCUGAGCCUUCCAGUCUUCCCACAGACUCUACCAAACAUUAUCGGGGCCACUAACAAAGAAGGAAGAAAAACUACUUUCAAUGUUAGCUCUCCCUUUGACUCUUCUACUGAGGGAUAUGUGGGGGACCCAUGUUUAUGAAUAAUAACUUCCAGAAAUAAAAAUUCAGGAGAGACAAGCAAUGCAGCACCUACAGAAACAAAAAUAAUCAGACCUAAAUCCACAAGUUUAUUAAAGUGACUUUUUAUCAUGAUCUUUUUUUUUUUUUCCUGCAAUGGAGUCUCACUCUAUUGCCCAGGCUAGAGUACAGUGGAGUGAUCUCGGCUCACUGCAACCUCCACCUCCCAGGUUCAAGCAAUUCUCCAGCCUCAGCCUCCCAAGUAGCUGGGACUAUAGGUGCACACAACCACACCCGGCUAAUUUUUGUAUUUUUAGUAGAGACGGGGUUUUACCAUGUUGGCCAGGCGUAUCUCAAACUCCUGACCUCAAGUGAUCCACCCGCCUCGGCCUCUCAAAGUGCUGGGAUUACAGGGGUGAGCCACAGCUCCCAGCCUAUCACGAUCUCUCUUAACACUGCCCUGACAUAACUCAUGGCUGUACCAUCCAAAGACAGUAUUUUGUGCUAUGUCUGAAAACCUUCCAAUCUGGCCUUAAAACAAAUAUUCAGCAACAUAAUAGAGUGAUAAUGUCAGAAAAGAGUAUUGGCUCCCAUAUCCACAGUUGUUUUAAUAGCAUUUAAGACCAACAUUUUAUAAAUAUUAUUAGAAAUAAUAUUUAUUUUUUAUUAACAUUAAAAUUAAUAUAAUAAAAAUAUAAUUUUUCUCCUAGCUUUGCUUAUGUUUGUGUUUUCAUAAAUAGUAGAGGGGAGAACUAAUGAUUAAUCAAUGGGCUGUGCAUCACUUGGGAAGUUCCCUGUGUAAAAAGCUCUAAGUUAACAUCUUUGCAAAACCAUUAGGAAGAAUUUCCCAAUAAUCCAUUUAAACAUAUCAGAUUAAUGAGGAAUUAAAUGCAUCUGCACUUAUUCUUGGUGUGGAUUUCAACUGUUUCUCAAAGCUGAACUGAGCCAGAGCCUGCUCAGCAGAAGAAAAAUUGAGAAGGCUAAUGGAGAGAGCCGUUAGCGUAGGAUGCAAUGGUUUGCAACUUGGUGGGCACACACGGUCUGAAGCCUCACCCUGCCCUGACGCCUGCAUUCCUAAUUCUGUGCAUUCACAUGUUGACUUAACACUGGUUUAUUGAGCAUUUACUAUGUAACACUGUUCUAGAGACCGAGAAAUACAGCAGUAGACCAAGUAGGCUUACGUUCUGGCAGGAGGAGUCAGACACUCAACAAAUAUGCAAAUACAGACACAAAUAUUGGGUUGUGGGGUUAGAGAAGAAGUAGUGAGAGCUAAGGAUGGUGGGGAGAAGCCCUCUCUGAUAAGCUAACACGUGAGCAGAGACUUGAAGGAAGUGAGAGACUCGGGAAGCUACCUUGGCAAGGAACGAUCCGGGCAGGGAGAAGAGUAAACACAAAGGAUGGAGGUAGUAGCGUGUGCUUGACCUGAGGCCCAACGAGGAGGCCCAGACCACUGGAUGAAGUGUGUGCACAGUGUGUGUAUGUGUGUGUGCAGGUAUUUGGGGGAGGAAGGGAGGCAAUCACACAGGGCUUCCAGGGAGGUGAGGACUAUGAAUUUUCACUUAGCAUAAUAUUUUCAAGAUUCACCCAUGCUGUCACACAAAUUAAUAUUUUGUUCUUUUAUAUUGCUUGGAUUCCUAGUUGUAUUCUAGUAAUUUGUUUAUCCGUUCACCAAAUGAUGACUAUUUAUGUUGUUUCCAGUUUGGGGUUAUUCAAAUAAAGCUGCUAUGAAUAUCUACAUACAGUCUUUGUAUGGACAAAUGUUUUCAUUUAUCUUGGAAAGGCAUCCAUCUAUCAACUGAUUGACUGACUGAUUGAUCUGCUCACUAUGUAUCAUCCAGUAAUGCCAUUCCUAGGGAUUUACCCAAGAUAAAUUCCAGACUGUUUUCAAAAGUGGCUGUUAUCAUUCUGCAUUCCCACCAGUAACACAUGAGAGUUCCAGUUUCUCCACAUUCUUGUCAACAUUUGGUAUUGUCAGUCUUUUUUAAGUUCAGCCCUACUAAUGCAUGUGAAGUGGUAUCUUAUCAUAGUGUUAAUUUGCAUUUCUCUGAAGACUGGUGACACUGAGCAUUUUCUCAUGUGCCUUUAGGAAUUUAUAAAUUUUCUUUGCUGAAGUGUCUUUUCAAAUUUUUGCCUUUUAAAAAAAUUGAGUUGUCUUAAUAUUGAGUCGUAAGGUUCUUUAUAUAUUCUGGCUAUAUGUCCUUUGUCAGAUAUAUGUCUUGCAAAUAUUUUCUCCCAGUCUGUGGCUUACCUUUUCCAUUUUUAAACUGUGUUUUAUAAAAAAAAGAAGUUUUUUUAGAUCAAAGUCCAUUUUAAUCAUUUUUUCUUUUAUAGUUCAUGCUUUUUGUGUCUCAUUUAAGAAAUCUUUCCCUACUCCAAUGUCACAAAUAUAUUCUCUGAGAAGCUUAACAGUUUUUGCAACUAAAUUUAGGUCUAUGAUCCGUUUUGACUUAAUUUUUCCAUAUGGUGUCAUGUAACAGUUGAGAUUUUUUUCCUAUGCAGGCAGAUAUUCAAUGGUUCAAGUACCAUUUAUUGAAAUGGCUAUCUUUUCUCCACUGAAUGACCUUGGCACUUUUAUCAAACAUCAACUGGCCACACACAGGUGAGUCUACUUCUGGACACUUACCCUGUUCCAUUCAUCUGUAUAUCUCUAUCCUUACACCAACACGCAUAGUCUUGAAUACUAGGGCAAGUUAAUUUUAAGAUGUCUCCUGGAUAUGUAAAAAUUAUAUCUGAGUUGAACUACAGUUUAUUUAUAUAUCCAGGCAGCAAAUAAAUGUGAGAAUCUGGAGGUGAGGGAAGAGAUCAGAGAUACCACCUUGGAAACCAUCAAUUUAGAGAUGAUUCUUAAGGCAGGGGACUAAGGGACACUCUGUAGGACACAGACAUAGAGAAGGGAAGGGGCUGCGGCCUGAACACCCCACCUGCAUGCUCACUCACAUACUUUCGUCGGCCUGUGUUAACGAAGUGCUGGGUCUCCCCAGCCUCUCUCAUCUGUAAGCAGUGCCAACAACGUCCAACACAGUUCCAUCCAAUUUGGAUCUGCCAGAUUUCCAAGGAGCCGAAAACUUGACCCUACAAAUCAGAGUCCCGAAUUCAGCCCAGAGGCUCAGAAAGUUGCUCCAGUUUUCUAAGCCUCAGUUCUCAAAUUUGGAAAAAUAGAAAUUCAGUAACUAGCCAAAAUCAUAGGGUUGUUUGUGGACAACUAAUAAGAAUAAAAUGUAAACAUUUAGACACGCAAGCCCCGUGAGGAAAAUCCAGCCGUCCCUCUUUCUAAUCAGGGUGGUGUGAGUUUCCUAUGACCCAUUUCCACCAUUUCCACAUUUAUGAACCGUGAUCAACAUUAGACACUGAAAACACAGGAAAACAACUUCUGGACAAAUCACUGUGAGCUCAAAUGACCCCGCAGACUCUGUGGCCAGCUUGACCCCACCACUCCAUCAUCAAAGAGGACCAUGGUGAGAGCCUGAGGGAUGAGGCACUACUUGUUGAUGCUGGCAGGGAUCAGCAGAAACAUAUGUUUUCAUGCUGAAAACAGAAGACACAGAUGUGGGCACACUUAGAAUGCACUCCUGGCACACAGUGGGUACUCCGUAACUACUUGGUGAACAAAGAGACACAAAGAAACAGCAGUCAUUUGAACAAUCAGCUGAGAAAACAGAGACUCUGUGACCAAGCUCUCCAUCAGGUAUGGAACAGAUGCAGUCACAGGAAUGAUAACAGUCACAAGGAAAGCUGAGGGUGGCUCCCUGCCGGUACCGCUCUUGGCAGUUUAUGGGAAAUUAUUCAUCCUAUGGAGCAGCACUAUUAUUAACCCCGUUGUACCAGUGAGGAAACAGAGGCAGGAAGGUACUAGAAUUACUCCCACUUCAUAGGUUAAGGAAACUAAAACCCACCAAAAUGGCAGGGCUGGGACUUGAACCUAGGUCAUCAGGCUAUGGGGUUCCACGGACUAUGGCUCAGCUAUAAUACUACGCGAUAUUCUCUCCCAUCUUCAGAAUGUUUGCUUCACUUCAAGUAAAAGACAGUAACUAAAAAUUCUCUUUCCAUCAUCUGUUACCUUAAAACAGCCUAACUCACAAAACUUCACAACGCAAGCCCAGGUAUUAUGGAACCCACCAAGAAUAGCAAGUUCAGUGUUGGCUGCCAUUUCUAAGUGGACAGUGUUAAUUCCCUCCACUUAGUUGAGGGGCGGAGAGAGGUGUUGAAGGAAAGAGAUGAGAUGACAAGUCUGAAGUGGCUUCAUCACAAAGCAUCCAUGGCUGUGAUAUGUAGCUGUGUCAUCCAUGGCAACAUUCGCCUGAAUGGAGAUUGUAUUAUGGACAUUGUUCUGGGAUGCCUGAGGCUGAUGACAUGGGACAUGCCGGAAAUUUAUGUAUUUCCUACAUAAAUAUGCAGCUGAACAUAUUUAUGUAGGAAAAUUAAAGACCAGACUGGUCAAUCACUGGUAAGCCGUCAAUGCCCCCUCAAUGAUUACCCUUGUCAUUCGUGCCAGCCAAAACACACCCAGUUCACAAUAGAGACGCAAGUAACUUUUCAACCUGCAACUGACCGCUAGAAAUUGAUUUUAGUAGUUGCCUCUAUCCUGUGAUAUUUUAGAAAUCAGGUUAUCAUGCAUAAUUAGCUCUCCAGCCCAAAUCAUCUGUGCCACAUUCUAUUAUAACAAUCGGAGAGGUUAUGACAAUCAAGAAAAGGAAAAAAACACAGGCAUCUGUCUCAUAGUUCAAUUUUAACAGGAAUAAAAAUAAUUUGAAAGAAAGAACAAAUACAUAGAUCAAGGCCACAUCUGCCAUCUCAUUGCAAGGCACAUGCCCAUCCUGUCUACAAAGCUUUUGGCAUAGCAUGUCUGGUGCACAGUAAGUACUUAAUCAGUGGCAGUUCAUCUUUUUAUUAUUAUUAAUGUUUCUAGCAUGAAUGGAUCUCAGAGAGUCUAUUAACUUUCCUUCCUAGUCAAGGGAUGCACAAAAAUUUAGCAAAACUUCAGAUAUUAAUUUGCUUCACUGUGAGUAGUUAUGUUCUAUUUAUAAAAAUUGCAAACAGAUUGAUUUCCUUUCUUUUUUUUUUUUAAAUUUUUUAAUUUCUUUUAUAGAGACAGUUAUCUAACUAUGUUGCCCAAGCUGGUCUCAAACUCCUGGUCUCAAGCAAUCCUCAUGCCUUGGCCUCCCAAAGUAUUGGGACUACAGGUGUGAGCCACUGCAUUCAGCAUUGAUCUUAUUUUCAUUUGCAAUUUUAGCAGCAAUAUGAUAUAUAUAAUAUUCUUUAAUAACAAUAUUCAUAAUGUAUAUGACAUAAGGUAUACAAGAAUACAACUAUUUUAUACACUAACAGUAGCAAAUAAUAUUCUCUUUCAAAAUUGUGAUUCAUCGAGGCAGGCUAACAUUAGCUGAAACAAGUCCAACUGCAGUGGCCCAAGUCCAGGGCUAGUCAGGCAGCUCUCCUCCAAGCAGUGACUGAGGGCCACAGGCCUCUUGCAACUUGGGAUGCCGCCAUUUUCCCACAAGGCCUCCAAGAUUGCAGCAUAAGGGGAAAGGGACAGUGGGAGAAUCUCAUGGGCCAGGCCUGGAAGAAGCGUACUUCAUGUCCAUCUGUCUGUUGGUUGUCCAGGCAACGCCAGCCCAACUGAAAGGGGACUAUGCGCCCAGGAGAAAAAUGAAAUAGGGUUGGGAAUCACUGUUUUCUGUGUCAUAAACAUUCUCUCCGUGGACAAUUAACAUCUGCCUUGUACUUUACAGAUGUUUACACGGCACUUUUCACUAUGUCUUAUUUAUUCAUUCAGAAAAUUUAGUCAAUAAAAAAAGUUGAAAAGUUGCUAUUGUUAUUGCCAUUUUCCAGGUGAAGAAACUGCGGCUUGGAGAAGUCAUUUAGCAUCCAAGCAGAUGAGUGGCACAGCCAAGGCUUCAUUCCCUGACCUCCGCAUCCAAAUCUCAAGCCCUUUCCACUUUUCUUUGCGUCGUACUGAACUUCAAGAAGAACAGAGAUCCUGUGAUAAAACAGAUUUAUGACAGAAGUAGGGUUACCUUUUCACUCCCAAUGGGAUCCAGUGUUGUGUAGUUCCAUAAAAAAGGCACGAUCCCCACACAAUUCAACGGAACAGCCUGAGAGCAGGCUUUCACCAGUCCAUAGUCAUAUAUGAGCCAGUACAGGGAGUGUUUCAAAACUGAAAUAGAAGUUAAUAUCCUGAUAAUCUCAAAAUAAGACUUCUAAUUCUUAUUUUAGAGGUCAAAGAGAUGGGUGUAGAUAUGGGUGAACAUGAUUAAAUCAAAAUUAUGGAUGUGAAGAAAAACUCUGGGCGAUCAGGGUCCAGUUCCUAACCCUGUCCCCUUAACUAGACAUGAAACCCAUGUGGAAUACUCAUUGUCAUGGUGACAACCGGGUGGAUGGAGUUUGAAGACAGGUCAGAACACACUACUAGGUCCACAAAGCCCAAGGCGUCACUGAGCUGGGUGUGAAGUGGCUGUCUGGCACAUCUUCUUCCAUUGACAAGCCGGCCUUUGUGAUGAGAAGGAGGCUCAUGGCACAGUCUCAGCUGAGUCCACUCCUGCAGGCAGGCAGCAGGGAGGACAAAACGUCCCCAGCUUCCUUCUCCAUGGUCUCUGCCUAGAGAGCAUCAGUAUUUCGAUGUUCAGCAUGGAAUAGACUUCCAUAACAUUGAAAGCAGUGAUCUUCUCUUUUCAAAACAAGGUGUUGUAUGCAGUAUUAAAUCUGGAUUCCAGAAACGCUCGCACAGGGCGACCUUGUGUGCAGAAGUUUAUUGCCAAGGUUCCAGUUUAUGCCCACGAGGCGCACAGCGAGGCUUCUGGAGGCAGCAGCUUGCUUUUGGCAUUCCCUUACAGAGCUCAGAGCCCCGACAGGUUUUGGCUGUAAGAAGUAUCCCGCAACUGAUUUAUUCCUCAAUUUCAAUUAUUUUUUUCUCUACAUGAAUCAUUUCCAUGUUUCCAAAGCAGAAGUAGAAAGAAAGAAAAAAAAACUCAUAAGGUGAAAAAAACUUCCAAAGUGUUUUGUUUUGUUUUGUUUGUUUUUUUAUUGAAAAAAAAAAAAAGCCUGCAAUACAGGAAUGGAUUUGCUAUCAAACAUCCAUUUCAGGAAACCACCAGGUAGAAUCGGGCAAUUUGAUGGGCAAUUGGGUCUCAAUUUCCCCAUCAGGAACAACGUCUGUGCACACACACAUACACACAUUCACUCCCAAGCCAUCCACCUCACCAGACCAUGAGCUUUUAGGGAGACCGAAUUCCAGCCAGGAAGGCAGUUUCCUUUUCACUGUACCAACAUAAUGCUUCAUUACACCAAGACACAGCACUCUCCCAUCUGCCAGGUCAAUAAAGAAUGAAGCUUAAAAUUCACAGUCACCUUUACAAUGCUAAGCAUUUCAACCUUAAAUGAAUGUGCAGUCCACCAAUCCGCUUCCCCGGCCUGCAUCCAGCUCUUCCCGUAGCUGAGGCUCAAAUGAUCUUCCACGGGGUCCAUUAGUUCCUCUUGGCUGGUCCCUGGGUUCAAUGCAACGCUCCCAGCAGGUACGGUAACUGCCACUCAUCUGAAACUCCCAAGUUACACUCUGCCUCACUGACAAGGGCAUGGGGCGCUGCCUCCUAUUCUGUUUUGUGGGUUCUUUGAUCACCAGAAGGAAUUUCGAGCCACUGUGCUAAGUAACUCGAAUUACUCAUAGGCUGGGAUCCCAGAAGCCGCUGGGUUCCUCCAUAUACCAUCAGAAGCUGAGCUUCUCCAGAGGACACUGAAGAGGCUGCUCAAGAACCCUACAGCAGGUUGUCCCAGAAUUACCCACCAUGACCUAGGUAGCUGACUAAAUGCCACAGCCCACCUGAAGUUUCCCCAGGCAAACACCUGGAGUGUCUCAUGACUAAGCAAGAUGUCCUAUGGAGCUAAAAAUAACCCUCCUAUCCCUUCCUCCUCCUGCCAUCCCCAUCUCUCUGACCCUCUGUGGUCCUCAAAGGGCAUUUAAGAUUUGAGUUUCCUGGCCAGAACGUGGGCAAGUGCUUGUAUUUAUUUGCUAUUUACUAACUGCUGCCAUAGUAGAUGGCGUUUCUAAAACGGUAUAAAACAUCUACCAACAACAUCAGGUUUUUGGUAUUCUAUAUGUGACUGUUAAAAUAAAAAUGGACCUUGGCUACCUAUAAUGAAUGAGCCAAGUAAAAGCACUCCAAUCCUGGCGUCCAAUUCUAUCAGCUGAUAUUUGACACAGGGUUUGACAGUUGACAAACUGUCUCUCCAUGGUUCCCUCUUAACAGCUCCAUGAGGUGGCAGGGCCAGUACAAUCAUCCUUGUUUUGUAUCUGAGCAAAGGACAUUGUGGAGAGAUUAAGCAAGGCUACAAAAUCGGUGAAGGAUUCCGACUUUCCACUACAGCAAGAGGUCUCAGUGCAUGGCUAGCCCUAGGCGAUGCCAGAAACAUGACGACAUAAGUAAUACUUUUUUUAAUAGCAAAGAAAGCAAGCCAGUAAGAUGUCCAGCUUGGGAAAUAUGAAGUUGGCAAGGACAAAAGAUGCCUCCAAAUUUUAAAGAAAAAAAAAUUUCUCUCUCGGUUAACCCUCACUACUCCAUCAAGAGUAACAGCAGAGUCCAGGUAUCCCCUGGAAGUGGGUCAGGUUCGGGUCUGCACUGUCUUCCUUGCUUCCAGGUACCUUCCUCCUCCCAGGCCGCACGGAGUCCCGGGCCCGGCUCCGGGCGCUGUGUUUACAGGCAGGGCGGCAGGAAGGACAUGACCUCCCCAGCUCUGCGGCAGGUUAAGCAGCCUGAUUGAACGUGGCUGCUAAUUAAGGGCCCCUCUUGUCUGGCAGGGCCACCAGGGUACCUUCUGCACUUGUUCAUGACCACUGCACCUCGCUCAGAAAUUAACUCUUGAUGAGUGCAGACAGGGGCCCAGCUGGUCCUCCCGAGUCCUCCCAAGUAGAUAAAUGAAGUGUAAUAAGAAUGCCGCUGACUGCCAAGGGAAGAGGGGCUCUCCGUGACCUCUUGGUAAAAUCCAGAGUAUACUUUUACUAUGACUUAAUUCUCUGCACUGGGGACACCUAACGUAGCCAGGAAUGGUGUGAACAGACCACUAGCCACAGGGACAGCAUAGAGGCGUCCAUCACUAGACGUCCACUUCAUGAAGUAGGAGUUAAAAGAAUAAAGAGGUAAUUUAUGAGAAACUAAUUUUCAAUUGACAAAUAUUUUCAGGAGGUGUGAUGACCUACUUUUCUCCAUAACUCUUCAUGGGCCCAGGGACAAUGGUGGCUCCUAUUACAGUUUGCAAAUGGUACAAUCAUUCCGCUCAGGUUUAAAAUAUUAAAUGCUCAUCUUCUAUCACUUACAGAGGGAUUCUUUCCCUGAAGCUCUAUUUAAGGAGAGGGAAAUUGCGGCCGUCAUUGUCCAGGCCUCCCACAUACAGAAACUUGGUAGACAGACAUGUUCUGGGUCACAUGGCUAAGCUGUACUGACAUGCUGCUCGAGUCCAGAGGUAUCGCCAUUGAGUUCAGCACAGUCAGGACCAGAGCCUUUUCCACCAUUCAUCUCAGGAAGCCAACACACACAGCUGGUAAGGGGGAGGGCUUGGAGCUAGGAGACUGGGAACUGUGUGUGGUCAGAAGCCACCUCACUGCCCUGGCCCACAGUGUGGUUCCCUGUGUGACAUCAUCUUUGAGAUAUGACAGAGACAAAAAGCAGGCUGAGAGUCCCUGCUCUGGACUCUAGAUCACAAUGAAGCCACAUCUUUCUACAACUUUUGAAAGAAGCAGGUGAGGUUUCCGAAAAAAAAACCAAGUGAAAUGAAAGGUGACGGUCAGUGUGCUAUCUUUUGACCGCACAGCAAAAAAGUGGUUGCCGGGCUAGAAGCAAGAUGGAAAGAUGAAGAAAUGGGCAGAAAAGGCAUUUGGUGCCUUGAUGAAAAAUUUCAAAAAUAAAAGGGUCCCAUGGUGAAACUAGAGCAAUUCCCAGAAGACUAAAUGUGGGAGGAAUGGGACGAGGUAGGGGAAGUCAGCAGAGACUCUAAGUUGUUUAAGAGAGCGUAUUACUUAUCUAUUGCUGUGUAACAAAUGAACGCAAAACUAAGCAGCCCGAGACAACUUAAGAAACCCACGAUUUCCGUGUGCCUGGAGUCUGGGUUGGCUCAGCAGGAUGCCUUUAGCUCAGGGUCUCUCACAAGGCUGCACUCAAGGUGUCAGCGGGCACUGUGGUCAUCUCAAGGCUUGCCUGGGGGGGUGGCUCCGCCUCCACUUUGUCCCUUCCCAACCUCAUCUGUAGUCUGCCACAGGCCUCGGUGCCCCAGUAGCUGCUAAUCUUUUGCCAUGGGGCUACUCAUAGCACGUCAGCUUGCUUCCCUCAGAGCUGGGGGUAGGGAGAAGAGGAAAAGCAAGCAAGACAGAAGUCACCCAGAAGUGCAAAAAAGGAGUUGCCAUCCCAUUACUUUUGCCAUAUUUGAUUUGUUAGAAGUGAUCCAGUAGGUCCGACCCACCUGCAAGGGGAGAGGCUUACGCAAGAGCAUGAAAACCUGAGGACAGAGACCACCAGGACCAACAAAGGCUGUGGACCACAGAGACACUCUUUAUUCAUGGAAUAAACCUGGAGCCCGAUUCUCCCAAGGCGAGCCUCCUGAAAUGAUAGAAGCUACGGAGGGAGGCCACAUGCUAGGCCACAUGUCAGCAUUAUUACUGUUCAUCAUUCAUUCAGGGCCCACAAAAGCGAGAGCAUCUCCAUACGGGUGUGGAUUUUAAAAUCAGGAAAGCAGGCCAGAUAGAAUUCAUGCUUAGGCACAGCUGCUCAGAACUGACCACCCUAAGGGGCCCACUGUUAAUAACUCAUCCUUUCUGAUGAUCCGCCCACUGCCUGGUGUGGCUGCUGCCACUGUUCAGCUCUGUCCCCUGCCCUGAGAAACAUGUGCUGCCAGAGGUUCGUCCUCACAAUAAUAACCGCUAACACUGAGUGACAGCAUGUGAUGGUCAAGUACAGAGUCUGGCACUUUAUGUUCAUCACCGCGUUUCAUCCUCACCACGACCCUGUUCUGUGGAUCCGGCUGGACGCAUCCAGAGGUGGGAGUCCCUGUGGUCUGGGCACUGAUCAGUGCCUGAAUGUUCUCAGGGACACUCCCCUUCAUUAAAGCAGACAGUUAGACAUUAACAGGUCUCAUGACUCAAUAUAUAACUGAAUUGUUAUAUUAUGGGCACAUUGCACAACUGUUCACUUAGAAAAUCUAAAAGAAUCAGCUAAAAACUAUUAGAAAAACUUAGUGAAGUGUAUAAAAUGAAACACUACCGUGCCACUUUAGGACUCUGGCAAUAGCUAAAAAGUAAGUUUUGUGAUAACUCAUGUUCAUUGUAGAAAAUCUAGAAAAUAAAAAAAAAAAAAAGUAAGACUAAGGCAUUAAGUCACUCAUGACUUUACCAAAAGACAUUUUGGUAUAUUUUCUUUGAUGCAUUUUUCUAUGUUACAUGGGUGACUAUAUCAUUGUAUUUUAAAAAAUUGUUGUCAUACUACACUAGCUGAGCAUCUUGCUUUUUUCACUUAAUGUAACAUUGGGAGCAUUUUCCCAUGCUCAUGUUCUUCAAAAACCCAAGGUUAAAUGGUUACUGAAUAGCUCAUCAUAUUAUUACAACCUAAUUUUAAAAAACUAUUUCCUUUUACUCAUUUAGUCAAAAAAAUCAAAUUUUUUUCCUCUGUUCCCCAUUUCCUGUCUUUAAAAAAUUAUUUGAAUAUCCAUUUCAGUUCUUCUAUUGGCUUAACACAUAUUUAUUUACAUUUUUAAGUUGGCUGCAAGUUAGAAAUAUAAGUUUUCACAGUCUGCCUACAGUCAGUACUGUACAACCUCUAUAAUAAAGAACUCUUCUCACCAUCGAGGUCCGUAUCUACCCCUGGUCUUUACCUUACAGCUGUUACAUGUAUCUCAUCUAUAGAUGUUAUAAGCCUCGCAAGACAGUGUUAUAAUUUUUGCUUAAAAUUCUUAUAUGAUUAACAAUGAAAUUAAGAAGAAAAAAGCAGAAAGAAAACUAGUAUUUUGUGUUGAUCCAAAUAUUUACCAGUCCAGUAGUCUUUACUCUUUUCCAAGGACCUGAGUUCCCAACUGGUAUUAUUUCCCUUUAACUGAAAGAAGUUCCUGCAGCAUUUCUUACAGUGCAGGUCUGCUGGUGAUAAAUUCUUUUUUCUUUUAUCGAAAAAUGCCUUUAUUUCCCUUCAAUCUUAGAAGGAUAUUUCUACAAGAUAUAAAAUUCUGGGUUAGGGCAGGCGUGGUGGCUCACACCUGUAAUCCCAGCACUUUGGGAGGCUGAGGCAAGCGGAUCACUUGAGGGCAGGAGCUCAAGACUAGCUUGGACCACAUGGUGAGACCCUGUCUCUACUAAAAAGACAAAAAAUAGCUGGGUGUGGUGGUUCGCACCUGUAGUCCCAGCUACUCAGGAGGCUGAGGCAGGAGAACUGCUCAAACCCAGGAGGCAGAGAUUGCAGUGAGCCGACAUCAUGCCACUGCACUCCAACCUGGGCAACAGAGCGAGACCUCAACUUAAAAAAAAAAAAAUUCUGGGUUAGAAUUUUCUGAUUCUCUUUCAGUACCUUGAAAAUGUUAUUCCAUGCCGUUCUGGUCUGCAAGGUUUCCAGUGAGAAGUCAGCCAUUAACUGGAUUAUUACUGUAUGGCUUUUCUCUUGUUGCUUUCAAGAUUUGCUCUUCAACUUUGGUUUUCAAAAGUUUGCAAGAACCAGCGUGGGAUUUUUAAAUAUUUAUUCUUAUUGGUGUUUCUUGAGCAUAUGAUCUUAUAUCUGUAAAUUUCUACUUGUCACUGAAUUCUGAAAUUUUUUAGCUAUUAUUUCUUCUACUAUUUUUUUCUGCUCCAUUUUCUCUUUUUCCUCUGUCAUUUUCCCCCUCUCUGCCUUCAGCUGUUAAGUCCACUCAGUAAAUUUUUAUUUGAGAUAACUAUUUUCAGUUCUAGAAUUUCCAUUUGGUUCUUCUUUUUAUCAUUCUAUUUCUCUGCUGAGCUAUCUUAUCUUUUCAUUCAUAGUGAGCAUAUAUCAUGUUAUUUCAUUUAGGAUAGUUUUGUUUUGCUUUGCUUUGAGACAAGGUCUUACUCUGUCACCCAGGCUGGAGUGCAGUGGUGUGAUCAUGGCUCACUGCAGCCAUGACCUCCUGGGCCCAAGCAAUCCUCCCACCUGAGCCUCCCCAGUAGCUGGGACUACAAGGGCACACUACCAUGCCCAGCUAAUUUUUGUAUUUUUUGUAGACAUGGGGUUUCCCUGUGUUGCCCAGGCUGGUCUCAGACUCUGAGGUGGGCUCAAGCAAUAUGCCCACCCCAGCUUCCCAAAGUGUCGGGAUUACAGGCGUGAGCCGUGGCACCCAGCCAUUUAGUAUAGUUAUAACAGCCACUGGAAAACCUUGUGUGACUCUCCAUAUCUGCUUCCCCUUGGGGUUGAACUUCAUUUGAUUUCUCUUUUUCUUGAUUUGAGACAGUAUUCUAUUUCCUUGGUUCUUCAAAUGUUGGUUAUUUUAGCUUUGUAUCCCAGAUGUGAGGAAGGUUAAACUGUAGAGGUUUGGGAUUUUGCGAUUUUUCUUGGAUGACUGUUAGUUCUUUUGGUUGGCAAUUAGCUGAACCUGAACUGCAAACUCUGACCCUUUCGGCAGCAAGCACAGAUUUUUUUGUCAUUAUUGUGAUCUGAGUCUAUUCUAUGCAUGUAUGGUUCAGCGAUCAAAGAUGUAUAUAAACAGAAUUUGGGGAUCCCCUCUCCAGCCCUUUUCUUCUAGGAGUCCCUCUCACUGCACCACCUGCCCUUGGCCCUGAGCUUACUUGGUGCAGCUCAAGAGUGCAGCUCAAGACCCACCUUGUCCCAACGAGGUUCUCCCACCAUAAACUUGCCUGCUUCUGCUCACUCUCAAUGGCUUCAGGCAGCUGCUUUCUGAAUUAUACCCAGUUUUCAUAGUUAUUUUCUGUAUGUGGGGGUGGGAGGGAUGGAGGUGGGAGGAUCUGUCUGGUAAGAUCUUGAUCUGCCAUUCUCAGAAGAAGAAGUUCCCAGACCUUUGUAUCUAAAUACCAUUCCCCACUAAAAGGAACCAGAGUUCCUUCUAAAAAUGUAGAAAGUAAAAUAUAAAAACAGCUCAUUCCAGAGCUGGGUACAAGGUUACGCCUGGAAUACCUUAUUAUGCCAGAGAGUGAGGAAGUGAUCAAAGAUCCAAGAGGCCCUGUCAAAAGGAGAUGGGAGCCUACUUUUCAAACCAAAUCUGGGAUAAUUUGAGCAAAGAGAAUAAGGAUCAUAAUUAAUAAUAAAAUUCUGAAGAAAAGAGAGACUUAAUAGUCCACAGUGCUGAUUGAGAGGAAAAGGAAGAGAAGCAUAUUACUCAUUUAAUUGGCAGAUAAAACUGAAUGUAUUUGUCAUGUACAACACGUUUUGAAGUACCUACACAUUAUGAAAUUACUAAAUCUAGCUAAUUAACAUAUGUAUUACCUCACACUGUUACCAUUUGUUACAUUUUUAACUGAUGACGUAUCUCUCAUUUAUUGGACUGAUAACGUAUCUAUUCCUCAUUCACUGGAUUCUACCCAGAAACAGCACACUUUCACCCUUUCAUGGUACAGCUGCCAUGCUCUUCACAAUGUUAUUAUUCUAGACUAUUACAGUACAAGCUAGCAGUGACCUAUUUAUCUUUUAGGAUCAUGAACAAUAUAUAUCACUUCAUUUCUAGAAACUGAUCUUCAAAAACUAUAACCUACUGCAGGACAGGUGAGGCCAGGGAGGCGGACACCUCUGCCUCCAGGAGGCUACUCUGUGCCUCAAGAACCAAAGAACGAGGGGAGUUCGACCACUGCCUGUACAGAGCCCGAAUGCCCUCCCUGCUGCUGUUCUAAUGCAUGUCCCAUCUGCAAUGUUAGAAAACAAGCUUCAGCUUGAUACAGUGGAACUUGGCAGAUGGCACAGUUUGCUUGUUACAGAACUAAGUAUGAAAAUAAAUUCAUUUAGUAGUGCUCCUUGGAGAAAUGUGGUUCAGAAGUCAAAUAAUUUUAAAAGACCUCUUUCCCAUGUAAGACACCCAUGAAACAAUGCUCUGGUCAUAAUUAGUCUCUAACCUUUCAAAAUGCCUGCUUCAGUGACCUCACCUGCUAUUGAACACGAUGCCUGCAGAUGGUGUGAGGUGGCCAAAGGGUGGAGGACUGGCAGCGGGGGCUGCAGCGGCUGCUGUGACCAGCCACUCACUUGCUGAAGGAUCAGGGAGAGACACUGUGUCUCUCUGGGUCUCGGCUUCUUAACCUGUGAAACCCAGGGGUUGGGGAAAAGCUCGCCAAGCCCCCCUCCUGCUUUGGCAUCCUGUGAGUCUUUAUUGUCCUGGGCUAGCUGGGACCCCUAGGACACUGGGUGGCUCCUUCCACCCCACAUGAUCAUUCUGCUCAACAAGAACUUGCAGGAGCCACAGACCUGCCUCACAAACAUGAGGAAGCGCAUCCUUCUACAAAGCGAGAGGCUUGAGGUCAGUAUGCCAAUAGCAAGAAGACUUGUUCUUGAAAGGUUGAGUUUUUCAAAUGAGUCCUGAAAGAAUUCUACCACACUGCCUAUUUCCCAAGCAGGGAUCAUGGGAGAAAGGAAAUUUUGAAGAAAAUGGUUCUAAUGCCAUUUUGUUAAAAGUACUGAGAGAUUUACAAUGAUCAAGUAAUAUGCCAGUUCUUUCAAAGGAUGCCAACAUCUGAUGCCAACAUAAUUACAAGUUGGAAAAAUGUGUAAUGAAUCAGGCGGCUCAUAAUUUCCCUUAGAAUAUGUAUGCACAACUUAUUAAAUGACAUAAAAAGCAAAGAGUCACGG